UCUCUCAUCUGCACCGGCCAAAGCCAUGCUGGCCGCCACUUUGCUCUUUCAUUCACACCGCACCCAUGCCUCUCCACUGAUCUUAUCACCGGCCAACACCCAUCUCUCCACCGAGCAGGCAAGAGCCAAUUGGCCUUCUCCUCCUCCGUCUCAUGCUUCCCCUGCAAGCCAUCCGGCAGCACACACAGGCAUCCGAAAAAGCACAAGCCAUAACACACGCACAACAGUACUGGUGCCGGCCUUCUCCUCUCACAGCAAGCAUACAAACGCGAGCACACAAGCAGCAGCUGGCCCGCACCGUCGCUCGAGCUUGCUGUCCAGGCCGCCGCCGCGCGCUGAUCCUUCCCGUAGUGUGCGUUGCCGUCGCAUGCGUCGUCACUGUGCCCUUGCGCCCUUAUCACCGGCCGGCCUUAUCCUUUGCCUCUCUUCCCCCCCCCCCCUCACUGCCAUGUGGGCCCAUGGCCGGUCCACCCAGCCCACAUGCCUGGUCCGUGGUAGACCGGCCACUCGAGCACGCCCUAUGGUCCACACCCAUGAACCAAGUCCUCCAGCUUGGCCCCACUUCCAUGUGUAGAGCUAGCUAAAACCCAGGUUCUGCUGGUGAGGGUGAUGCGGUGUUUGGCUACUUCUUGCCUACCGAUGCAGGUGGUGGGCAAGAGUAGUGCAUCCUACUCUGGUGAGAGGUAGCUUUUGGGGUGGAGCAUAAGGGCAUAUGACUCCACUCUCCUUUUGUUGUUGUUAAGGUUUUAUGUUCCGCUGCGUAGUUUCUCUUUGUGUAAACUAUUGCAAAUGGUUGCAUGCUUAAGAACUUGUAAUAUAACUUUAAUUACUCGCU